rnacentral:lncRNA from 1 species
AUGACUUGUCCACUCAGCUGCUGCUAUCACACUGGUGCAGGGGGAGGGUGCGGGAGGAGCGGUCAGGGGAGGGUAUGUGAACGACGGUGUGAGGAGGGGAGCUGCAGACAUUUCUCCUCUGUCCCUGCUCGCCCAGCUUGGCGGGAGCUCUGCGCUGCGACCCGGGGAGGCCCCUCGGACGGGAGUGGAUCCUGUGCCCUUGGCCCCGGGUGGAGAAGUCUCUGCGCAUCACCUCAUGCGCUGCCUGUGUCCAUAAAGCUGCAUUCCGUGCUACCUGGCAGAGAGCUCCGUCUCGUCUCGUCUCAUCUCACCUCGCGGUCCUGGAACUGCCUCAGCAUGGCCAUCUCAUCACGCCUCGCCCUGUGGGAGCAGAAGAUUCGGGAAGAGGACAAGAGCCCCCCACCAUCCUCGCCCCCUCCCCUUUUCUCUGUCAUCCCAGGGGGCUUCAUUAGGCAGCUGGUCCGAGAGACUGAGAAAGAGUCCAAGGAAGCUAGACUGAGGAAAGAGGCAGCUCUUGCCUCUCCGGAACGAGAGAUCCCAGAGGUUUCUGCUGGCCAGCCCAGCGCUGGCACCAAGCCUGGGAGCCAGAAUGCCCAGUCAGGCUCUCCCCCGAGCGCAGACGUUCUGGGCAGGAAGGAUGAGGAGCCCGGGACCAAGGACCCUGUGCUGAUGACCAUCAAUGGCGAGAAGCCCCAAGAGUCAGGCCCCAGUGGGACACCUGCCAAAAAAAUCCUGCCCUUCAAGAGAGGGGUGAGGAGGGGUGACGUGUUGUUGAUGGUGGCCAAGCUGGACCCGGACUCAGCCAAGCCAGAGCAGAGGACCCAGCCCCGCGAUGCCCCUACUUCCAAGACCCCACCCCCAGCCACGGAUCCUGGAGGGGGGAAAAAGGGGGACACCCCAGGGACUUCUCGUGGCCCCCAGGCCAGCACCACAGAUACACCUCCGAAGGCUGAGAAGACGCAGACUGGGGGCCUUGGGGACCCAGGAACUGUGCUGCCGAUGAAAGGGGAGCAGGAUCAAGGCACAGUGGGAAAAGGGGGCGAGGCCCCCCAGACCAAAGGGGUGAAAAGGGGGGAGCUCCAGGGCAAAGAGGGGUUGGGUGAUGGGGGUCAACCAGGGGCAGUGGAGAAGGGGGCAGGGGAUCCCCCAAACAAGGGGGCAAAGGGGAGUCUCUCCAAGGAUGUAGCAGGUGAAGGGAAGUGGGCUGGGGCCCAAGCCCCGGUGAGAAGAUGGGGAAGUUCCCUGGGCAGAAGGGGCAAGUGGGACAGUCCCCAGCGUAAGAAGGACAAAGAAGGUCCGCUCCUGAGUGAGGCAGACAAGACGGAAGAACCUCAGACCAAGGUGGAGAAGACAGGCAAAGUGCCGGGGAGGGCGGGGGAGGCUCCCAGAGCCGUGGACAAGGCAGGUGAGCCUCAGAGCAGGACUGGGAAGGCAGGGGAGCCCCGGGGCAAGAUGGAAAAGAUGGGGCCACCUCAGAGCGCCUCUGAAGAAGCGAGUAAAGCCGAGGGUAAGGCAGAGAAGGAUGAUAAAGCCCCCAAGGAGGUGGAUGCACGUGGGGAUACCCCGACAACCGCUGGUAAGGAGGACCAGCCUGAGAGCAGAGGACAGAAAGCAGAGGAGCCCCGCCCCAGGGCAGGCAAAGGGGCCGGGGCCCUGGAGAUGGAGCUGGGAGGACCCGGGCAGCCUGCUCUGGACACGGAGAGCCAAGAGGGGCAUGGAGGAGGCCAGAGCAGAGUCUCGGAGCAGGCUCCUGAAGACAGAUGGUAUGAGGCAGAGAAGGUCUGGCUGGUUCAGAAGGACGGAUUCACUCUUGCAACGGUGCUGAAGCCAGACGAGGGAACAGCGGACCUGCCAGCAGGAAGGGUGCGACUGUGCGUUGACGCCGACAGUAGCGUCACCGAGGUGGACGAGGAGCACGUUCACCGGGCCAACCCCCCGGAGCUGGACCAGGCUGAGGACCUGGCCUCCCUGGUCAGUGUCAAUGAGUCCAGUGUCCUGAACACGCUUCUACACCGCUACCAGGCUCAGCUACCUCACACCCUCGCCGGGCCCGACCUGAUCUUCCUCCAGCCCCAAGGGCUCAUGGCGCCCUCUGCCAGCAAGGUGCCCAGGAACCGCCGGGAUGGCCUGCCUGCCCACAUCAGCUCCCUGGCCCAGCGGGCAUACUGGGCUCUGCUGAGCCAGCGGAGAGACCAGAGCAUCGUGACCCUGGGCCGGAGCGGUGCUGGCAAGACCACCUGCUGCGAGCAGGUCCUGGAGCACCUGGUGGGGAUGGCGGGCAGCGUGGAUGGCAGUGUCUCAGUGGAGAAGAUUCGAGCGGCCUUCACUGUCCUCCGGGCCUUCGGCUCCGUGUCCACCGGCCACAGCCGCAGUGCCACCCGGUUCGCCAUGGUGAUGUCACUGGACUUCAACGCCACAGGCCGAGUCACGGCUGCCCAGCUCCAGACAAUGCUUUUGGAGAAGAGCCGCGUGGCCCGGCAGCCGGAAGGGGAAGGCAAUUUUGAGGUUUUCUCCCAGAUGCUAGCUGGGUUGGACCUGGAUCUCAGGACAGACCUGUACCUGCACCAGAUGGCAGACAGCAACUCCUUUGGCAUGGGCCUAUGGCCCAAGCCUGAAGACAAGCAGAGGGCAGCGGCCGCCUUUGCCCAGCUCCAGGGCGCCAUGGAGACGCUGGGCAUUUCAGACGGAGAGCAGAGGGCCAUUUGGCGGGUGCUGGCAGCCAUCUACCACCUGGGCGCAGCGGGGGCCUGCAAAGUGGGCCGGAAGCAGUUCAUGCGCUUUGAGUGGGCCAGCCAUGCAGCAGAGGCCUUGGGCUGUGAGUACGAGGAGCUGAACACGGCCACUUUCAAGCACCACUUGAGACAGAUCAUCGCGCAGGUGACGUCUGGGCCGAGCCGGCGGAGCCUGGAGGAUGAAGAAGCCGGCUCAGGGCUCAAGAUGACGGGCGUGGAGUGUGUGGAGGGCAUGGCCUCUGGCCUGUACCAAGAGGUCUUUGCCGCCGUGGUCUCGCUCAUCAACAGAUCCUUCUCCUCCCACCACCUCUCCAUGGCCUCCAUCAUGGUGGUGGACUCUCCAGGCUUUCAGAACCCCCGGCACCAGGGCAAAGACCGGGCCGCCACCUUCGAGGAGCUGUGCCACAAUUACGCUCAUGAGCGCCUGCAGCUGCUUUUCUACCAGCGGACCUUCGUCUCGGCGCUGGAGCGAUUCCGGGAGGAAGACGUGCCUGUGCAGUUUGACCUCCCGGAGUCAUCCCCGGGGACCACAGUGGCCGUGGUGGACCAGACUCCUUCGCAGCAGGUGCGCCUGCCAGCCGGAGGAGGUGCCGAGGACGCCAGGGGCCUGUUCUGGAUCUUGGAUGAGGAGGUCCGGGUGGAGGGCUCCCAGGACAGCGUGGUGCUCGAGCGCCUCUGUGCCGCCUCUGAGAAGCACGGAGCUGGAGCUGAAGGAGCCUCUGCCCUCCGGACCUGUGAGCAGCCCCUCCAGUGCGAGAUCGCCCACCAGCUGGGGCACGACCCUGUGCGCUAUGACCUCACGGGCUGGCUCCACAGGGCCAAACCCAACCUUUCAGCCCUGGAUGCCCCCCAGGUCCUACAGCAUUCGAACAGGGAGGAGCUGAGGACCCUGUUCCAGUCCCGGGCCAAGCUGUCCCCCGUGUGCCGGGCCGUGGCCGGCCUGGAGGGCACCUCCCAGCAGGCCCAGCAGCGGAGCUGUGUGGUGCGGAGGACAUUCGCCAGCAGCCUGGCCGCGGUGAAGAGGAAAGCCCCCUGCUCCCAGAUCAAGCUGCAGAUGGAUGCAUUGAUCAGCGUGAUCAGACGGUCUGAGUUACACUUCAUCCACUGCCUGGUGCCGAGCACAGCAGUGGAGAGCAGAGGCGGGCAGGGGUCUCCGACUCCGCCACAGCCUGGUGGAGACAAGCCUGAGGCAGGCAGGUCCCUGCCCUUGGACAUCCCUGCACUGAGGGUACAGCUCGCAGGAUCCUACAUCCUGGAGGCUCUGCGUCUGCACAGAACAGGCUACGCUGACCACAUGGGGCUCACUCAGUUCCGCCGAAGAUUCCAGGUGCUGGACCCUGUGCUCACGAAGGAGCUCAUAUCAGCCCCUGAAGGGGUGGACGAGAGGAAGGCUGUGGCGCAGCUCCUGCAGACACUGGACCUGGAGAAGAAGGCCGUGGCCAUGGGGCACAGCCAGGUCUUCCUCAAGGCGGGCGUGGUGUCCAGGCUGGAGAAGCAGCGGGACAAGCUGGUGUCUCAGAGCAUCGUCCUGUUCCAGGCGGCCUGCAGGGGCUUUCUCUCUCGCCAGGGAUUCAAGAAGCUGAAGAUUCACCGACUGGCCGCCCGGUGCAUCCAGAAGAACGUAGCUGUGUUCCUGACAGUCAGGGACUGGCCGUGGUGGCGGCUCCUGGGUUCCCUUCGGCCCCUGCUGAGCGCCACCAUUGGGGAGGAGCAGCUCCGCACCAAGGAGGCGGAGCUCACAGCACUGAGGCAGAAGCUAGAGAAGUCAGAGAAGUCUCGGAAUGAACUCCGGAUGAACGCAGACCUGCUGGAGAGCAAGAUCGCUGAGCUGACCACAGAGCUGGCCGAUGAGCGCUUCAAAGGGGACGUGGCCUGCCAGGUGCUGGAGAGUGAGCGGGCAGAGCGGCUGCGGGCCUCCCGGGAGGUCCAGGAGCUAAAGAGCAAGUAUGAGCAAGUCCAGAAGAAUCUAGGAGAAGUGGAGAAGCGGUUGGAGGAAGCCCAGCAGAAAAUUCAGUUGAAUGAUUUGGAGAGGAGUCACACUGGGGGAGCGGACGAGUGGCAGAUGCGCCUCGACUGUGCUCAGAUGGAGAACGAGUUCCUCAGGAAGCGUCUCCAGCAGUCGGAGGAGAGGCUGGAGUCAGAGCUGGCAUCUAGGAAUGAGCUGGAGCAGAAGCUCGCGGAGCUGCAGAGGGCCUACGAGGGAGCCCAGAGGACAGCCCAGCAGCUCAAGAGGAGGUGCCACCUUCUGACCUGCGACCUGGAGGACACGCGCUUCCUGCUGGAGAACCAGCAGAGUCGAAACCACGACCUGGAGAAGAAGCAGAAGAAGUUUGACGCGCAGCUGGCCCAGGCCCUGGGGGAGUGCGUGUUUGAGAAGGGCCUCCGUGAGAAAGUGGCCCAGGAGAACACCAGCGUCCGGUGCGAGCUGGGCAAGCUUCAGCAGCUCUUGAAGCAAAAGGAGCAGGAAAGCUUGCAGCUGAAGCAGGAGGUGGAGAUGCUGCAGGCCCAGAAGCAGGAGCUGCUGAGGUCACCGUCUCUGGGGGAGAACUGCAUUGCGGGCUUGAAGGAGAGGCUCUGGAAGCUGGAAUCCAGCGCCCUCGAGCACGAGAAAGUCCAGAACCAGCAGGAAAACACCAUCAAGCAGCUGGAGCAGCUCCGCCAGCGGUUUGAACUAGAGAUUGAACGGAUGAAGCAGAUGCACCAGAAGGACCGUGAGGACAAGGAGGAGGAGCUGGAGGACGUCCGCCAGUCCUGCCAGAGGCGGCUCCGCCAGCUGGAAAUGCAGCUGGAGCAAGAGUACGAGGAGAAGCAGAUGGCCCUCCACGAGAAGCAGGACCUGGAAGGCUUGAUCGGAACCCUCUGCGACCAGAUCGGCCAUCGGGACUUUGACGUGGAGAAGCGUCUUCGGAGGGACCUCAGGAGGACUCACGCGCUGUUGUCAGACGUGCAGCUCUUGCUGGGGACCAUGGAGGACGGCAAGACGUCGGUCAGCAAGGAGGAGCUGGAGAAAGUGCAGAGCCAGCUGGAGCAGAGUGAAGCCAAGUGUGAAGAUGCCUUGAAGACCCAGAAGGCGCUGACGGCGGACCUGGAGAACAUGCAUAGCGAGCUGGAGAGCAUGACCCGCAGCAAAAGCCUGGUGGACGAGCAGCUGUACCGGCUGCAGUUUGAGAGGGCGGACCUCCUGAAGCGCAUUGAUGAGGACCAGGACGAUCUGAACGAUCUCAUGCAGAAGCACAAGGACCUCAUUGCUCAGUCUGCUGCUGACAUUGGGCAGAUCCAGGAACUGCAGCUGCAGCUGGAGGAAGCCAAGAAGGAGAAGAACAAGCUUCAAGAACAACUGCAGGUGGCCCAGAUGCGCAUCGAGUACCUGGAGCAGUCCACCGUGGACCGGGCCAUCGUCAGCAGGCAGGAGGCGGUCAUCUGUGACCUGGAGAACAAGACAGAGUUCCAGAAAGUGCAAAUCAAGAGAUUUGAGGUGCUGGUGAUCCGGCUUCGGGACAGCCUGAUCAAGAUGGGCGAGGAGCUCUCGCAGGCGGCCGCGGCCGAGUCCCAGCAGCGGGAGAACAGCCAGUACUACCAGCGGCGCCUGGAGGAGCUUAAGGCGGACAUGGAAGAGCUGGUGCAGCGGGAGGCCGAGGCCAGCCGGCGGUGCAUGGAGCUGGAGAAGUACGUGGAGGAGCUCGCUGCGAUACGACAGACCCUGCAGACUGACCUGGAGACGUCCAUCCGCCGGAUCGCCGACCUGCAAGCGGCCUUGGAGGAGGUGGCCUCCAGCGACAGCGACACAGAGAGCGUCCAGACAGCAGUGAACUGUGGCGGCGGCAGUAGCAGAAAAGAGAUAGAUGACGUCUCCACCCUCAGCUCCCAGCCGGGGGCCAGUCUGCAGUCUUGGCUAAGUUGUACUCUGUCCCUGGCCACAGACACCGCAAGGACCCCCUCGCGACAGUCAGCCGUCAGCAGCCGUACUCUCAGCCCCAGGACCCACGAGGAGGCCGGCGAUGGGGCCCGGGACGUCCGCAGCAGGACCUCGGGGGACAAGGCCGCGUCCCCGCUCUCCCGCCGCCGGGGAACGUAUGGCCACUUCGGGGAUGGCGAAGAGUGCGGCGUCCAGAGAAAGACCCCCGAGAGGCCGGGGGCACCGCCCUCCCCGUCUUCCCGGAGUGGAGACGUGUCCCCGCUACCGCGGGACAAGCUGCCCAGCCCGUCGGCCGCCCUGUCGGAGUUCGUGGAAGGGCUCCGGAGGCAGAGAGCGCAGAGAGGCCGGGGGUCGCCGCUCGGCCUGGAGGACUGGCCCACGCUCCCCAUCUACCAGACCACCGGGGCGUCCACGCUGAGGAGGGCUCGGGCGGGCAGCGACGAGGGCGCCCUGGCGCUGAGAGCCGGCGCCGGCUCAGCCCUGGAUGCGUCGGCCGGGCUCCCACGGUCCACCAGCCUCAAGUGCAUCUCCUCUCAGAGCGUGGGGAGCCCCAGCCCGCCCCCCGAGAAGCUGAAGACCCGCUUCAGCUCCUGCGAGUCCCUCCUGGAGUCGGGGCCCAGCUCGCAGAGGACGCCCAGCUCCCAGGCGGCUGCGCGCAGGGACCCGCUCUUGUCGCCCACGCUGCGCCCGCGGAGGCGCUGUCUGGAGUCCUCGGUGGAUGAUGCGGGCUGUCCGGACCUCGGCAAGGAGCCUCUCGUCUUCCAGAACCGCCAGUUCGCCCACCUGAUGGGGGACCCCCUGGGCAGCGACCCGUUCAGCUGGAAGGUCCCAAGCCUCAACUACGAACGCAAGACCAAAGUGGAUUUCGAUGAUUUCCUGCCGGCCAUCCGGAAGCCCGAGACGCCCACGUCCUUGGCCCGAGGGGCCAAAGAUGGGCGAGACAGUUCACAGCAUUCGAGCGUCCGCUUUGAGACGGAAGAGGCCGACCGGGGCUUUGUCUCCGGGAUCGGCACCGUCUUGAAAAGGAGUCCGGAGUCCAGAGAGGACCUUGCUCACCUCUCCGACUCGUCCUCCUCCUCCAGCUCCAUCAUGUCCUUCAAAAGUGCCGACAGCGUCAAGAGUCGGCCGAGUGCCCCCCGGCUGGAGGGCGACGGCGGCGAGCAGGCGUCCCCCGAGAACAGAGAGCCGGGCACAGGGAGGAAAGAGGAGGCCGUGGAGAGCAUCAUGAGGAAGUACCUGCGGAAGUAG